UAUUCCUACGGGGGGCAGCAGUGGGGGAUAUUGGACAAUGGGGGAAACCCUGAUCCAGCGAUGCCGCGUGAGGGAAGAAGGUUUUCGGAUUGUAAACCUCUGUGGAGGGGGACGAUAAUGACGGUACCCCUUUAGGAAGCCACGGCUAACUACGUGCCAGCAGCCGCGGUAAUACGUAGGUGGCGAGCGUUGUCCGGAAUUACUGGGUGUAAAGGGAGUGUAGGCGGGAAAGCAAGUCAGAAGUGAAAACGAUGGGCUUAAUCCAUAGCUUGGCUUUGAAA
rnacentral:rRNA from 1 species